rnacentral:lncRNA from 1 species
GCCACAUCAGCCAGGCUUGGCAGACGUGCUGGUGGCUUUGGUAAUUACCCUGGUGCCUGCUGUAUGUGCGCCUUUUCCACUGAGUUUAAAAAACACUUUCUCUAACUACCGGUCUCCCAGGAGUUGGGCCGCCUUUGCCGGUGGUGGUUUUCCCUGCGGGUCUUUCCUGUGUCUGAGCCCGGCUGUCUGCUGACUCCACGGUAAUACCCUGGCCUUCUGCUUCCCGGACUCCUGCCCUCUCCUGCUCUGGGCUGAGCUCACAGGAGGUUUAUGAGGACGUGCCCCUCAGGAGAGGGCCAGCAGAAGCCACGUGACUGCACGGCCAGACUCGCACACGUGGACUUGACAAAGCCCGGUCUCCCUCUCCCCUCUCCUGACCCCUCUCCUUUUUUCUGUUAUUAUUUUUGGCAUAAAUGCUGGCGUUGCUAAUAACACGAUACCACAGAUUGGGUAAGUUGUAAAGCGUUUGUUCUGGCUCACACUUCUAGUCCAAGGUUGAGGGACUGCGUCCGGUGGUGGGCUUCAUGCAGGCAGAAUUCCAAGGAGGUGCAGACCAUCCAUGGAGAGACAGGGAGUCUGAGAGAGAGAGGCAGAUAGAUGGCUAUCACAUGGUGAGACAGGAGGGCCAGCCUCCUCCUUCUGGAACAACCUUCUCUUUGGGAACUUGCCCACUCUGAGAGAUUAGCAGUAACCCCUGCAGGAGAGCAGUCAGGACCCCGUCUUCCACGUGGCCCACUCUAAAGUCCCAUCACCUUCAGUACUGCCACACUGGGGACCGGGCUCCUUACACACGCACCUUCAGGGAUAAGCCAUAACCAACAACUGCAAAUUUUAUGGCAAGGCUUCUAACUGGGGAGGAAGGCCCUCUCCACACUGGCUUCUCCUUUGGAUUCAUACUUUCAUUAUGAAUAAGAUUCCCUCUGGACCCCAUGUUCCCCACCAAGUCUCAUUCAAGCAAUCCAACUGUGGUAAUGACACAGGAAGAAAAUAGACCCUCAGAUGUUGGGGAAAUGAAUAUCGAAAGCGGUGCGGGUAAGUAGGCAGAAGACAUUUUCAUGUUUAUCCACAGCCAGGGAUUUGCUUCCCAAGGAGACUGCCACACCACUGGCCUAGAAUGCACUGUGGCUCCCUGUCACUCCUUACAGCCUCUGGAAGGGACACAGACUUCACUGAGACCAGGACACCCUCACUAUUUGCAGUUGGAAAUACUUCUGGCGUUUGUUGAAGUCUCUGUUGUUUUAAAACUGCAUUCUGUUGUUCAAAAGUUUGCUUUUUCUUUUUGCCACAGUGUUAUUUUCUUAAAACACUCUCCCACAGUCUCCUCUAUAUAAAUAUCAGGCAAUGAUAAAUGAUUAAGCUCAGCCUUUUUAUUUUUUCCCCCAUCAUCUGCGAGGUACCACUGUGCUACCUUCUGGAACUCAAGGGUACAUGGGAAAUGGUCUCCAUCUUUAAGGAGCUCUGAAUCUAGAGAGCCGGCUGGUUUGAGAUGUAAAUGGCCUUUUAGGAAGAAGGUGUGGUGAAAGGCUGGGGAGUGGAACUGGUCCAUUCUUCAGGGGCUCGAAUCAGAGCACCAUAUGCUCUCUGGCCUCUUAAGAAUGAAAUGGAAUUAAUCCUCCCUAGGAAGAGGGGCUGUUCCCCGGGCAGGAGGUGAUAUGAGCUUUAGACAUCACGGGGUAGGUAGGCCAGCGAUGGCAGGCAUCUCACUUUGGUGGGUUAGAAGAGGGGCAGUGGUUGAAGAUGAGGUUGUGGAGCAAAGCCAAGGUCAGGUCUUGAUCUAGGGGUCAUAUGUAUGGUGGUGAGGUGUGCAUGGUAACAGAAUUCCUCUUCCGACAGCACGGAGGGUGGAGGGAAUUGGGGAAUGGGGAGACAUGCAGUAGCACUUCGUUUGGAUGAAGCACUUCUAAACAGGAUGAAGGCUUGGACGGAGGCAGGGGCCUGGGCUGCUUGGGAGAGCUGUAUCUGAGGACUGUUCGGAGGUGGAGUGGGUGGGCUUGGUGAUGAUUGUGGUGUGGUGCAGCAGGGCUCUCAUCUGUCUAGUGGAGAUGGUUGGGUAGCUGUCCCCAGCUGGGACCAGAGACAAAGGAGGAAGGGCAGUUAGGAGGUGGGGGUGCCCACUGUGAGUUUCUGUUAUUUCCACUUUUUCUUCAGUCUUUGAACUGCUCAUGGGGCAUGUUUACUUCUCCCUUAUAAAAGGUGAAGUGCAGGUUCAAGCCUGGUGGCAGUGGUUUUGACAACUCGGGGCCAAUAGACGUCACUAGGCGUACGUGCGGAUCUCCGUCUGGAGAUGGGAGCUGAGGAGGAUGGAGUGGCGGUUUCCACCGUCUCGUAAGCUGCUGUGAUUCAGGAGCAGGCACUGCGUCCAGCAGCUGGAGACGUGAACAAGGCCCUGGACCUGGCGGGGUAGCCGAUGGUAGCCGCAGCGUCCACUACACUGCACGCAGGACUCUGAGGUCCAGGGAUUUGCUCCCACUGAGGCUGGGGUUUCCUAUUUCUGCUGGCAGGUGGGGUGUGCACAAUGUGAAGGCCCCGAAAUGGGCUGCAGCUCCAGUGGCGGGCCACACCCCCCUGUGUUGAGCAGGCCCCAGCAGCUCACUGCCGACGUCUCUCUGGGUUCUUGUCUCAUGAAUCCCCAAAACUGAAAUCCACAGACAAGGAUGAGUGACUGUUUCUUCAAGUGUGAAUAGAAACAGACCAGCCCACAUGACGAGAGGGGAUCCAGGCUCGUCACUUGAGUGUGCUGGUCUAGGGGUUUCUAUGGUGCUUGGGUCAACACUGUUGGCCCAAAUCUAUGCCAAUCAGGGUUUGGAAAAGGAGCCGUGAUUCUGGUCAGCCCCACAAUCCCGUUAUUCUGUCCUACUUCGGUUUCUGCUUGUGGGAAGCAGGAGGUUGAGGUCAGGAGCUGCAGGUGCUCGGGGUUCUGGGUUGUGGUGCUGUGAGGCGCAGGCAUCUGCCCCAGACCCCGGUGGCACUUCACCUGUGGGACAGGUGAGCCCCCACCUCCCAGCUUGACUCUGCCCUGGAUGGCGGCUCCUCGGGUCCACACUGGCUCGGCGGGCUCCAUACGGCCAGGUCCCUUGCUCACCACCCCGCUGCCCCUCAGCGGCUCCACCAGCGCUUCUGGGCAGGGUUGGGGGGAGUCAGGUCAUCACUACCUCUGUGACCUCUGCCAUUUUCCUCUCUACUUGCUUGCUGUAGCCACCUCGUCCAGCUUGUAGCUGUCGCUUGGAUGUGUCCAGGCCAGUGAGGUGCUAUUCCAGGGCUCCUGACCUUCCUCUGUUCUGUCGGAAUGUCACCUUACUCUAGAGGGCUCCCCAGAGGAUUGAUUGUGGCCACCUCCUCAGAGGCUUUCCAUCCCCUUACCCUGGUGACACCGACACCGUGCACAGUUAGAGGACUUUUGCCUCCUCCCUGGCAGGAAGGGGGGCUCUCGUUUUUAGUAUGCUAAUGGAUGGUGUGUCUUCUCGUGUUUUUAAGGUCAUUCUAGGGAGGGUGUCCUCUAAGGUUGUGCUUCUCUUUAGGAAAAGUGGACAUUGAAAGAUUUAAAAUGCAAGUGAAGUAAGGGAGUUGUUGAUGUUUAGGACUGACGAUUGCGAGUCUCUUACAUCGGUGACUUCACCUAGAAUAUUUCAGAUGUCAUGAGAUUUACAAAAAAAGACCUUGCACAUAGGUCAAAAUCAACUCUAUGUUGUGAGGGGUAGUAGUUUUUUUAUUGCAAUGUAGUCUUAUCAUUGGGCAUGGUUCCAUUAAGAUAAUUAUGUAUUCAUCUAGAAGCAGGAAUUAUGCUAUUAUUAAUAAUUCAGGAGAGUUUUCAAUUAAGCUUUGACAACAUUAUUGUCUUUUGGUCCGAUCUGACUCCUUGUUACAUCAAUAGUAACAUCAAAUUAUUUUUUUUCAGUGAAGAUAAAAUUAAACCCCAGAUAAACAGAAUCCAAAAAUCAUUGGUCUUUAACCAAUCUGGCUUCCUUUGAGCAUCUCUUAGAAGACAGAGACAUAUUAAGGAUUUUAAAUUUUAUAUGUUUUCCUGGACAUAUCCUGAGAUUUGUGUUCCUAUUUUGCCUCUGUGUUCCUUGAUCACAUCUCCUGUAGCUCCCAGUACCUGAGAGAUUGAUUCCAAACAUAACCGUGUGCCACCUGAAAAUUCUUUAUAAUCAAAGAAAGAGGUAGUAUGUUCAUUAUGUGGAAACAUGGAAUUUUAAUGCAUUUCCUCAGGGUCUCAGUGGUAGCCACAGAAAGGCUCCUUUCAUUGGGUGGGGGCUUUAAUUGAUCUGUGCUCUCCCAGCUAACUCUCAGAUUCUCCAAUCCCCCCAACCCGCUCCAGUCAAAAAGCUCAAACCACUGAUAGUUUCUAGUUAACCUUUAAUGAAUCUGAAAUCUGGUUCAAAGUACCCCGUUCAGGUUAGAGGGUCUAAUAGUAGUUUAGUGCAUGCGCUUUUGUCAGAAGAAUUACAAAGUAUGGUGUUUGUAGACAUGAGAAGGAGUCUUUUUAGUUUGCUAGAGCAAGAGUUGACACAUCUGCGUUUCAGUGACAAUGGUGUGACUCUGCAGGUCUCCAUCAGCCUCGGAGGUACUUUUGUUACUUGGCAUGCUUCUGUGUGUCUGAGUGUGUGUCUGAGUGUGUGUGUGUGUGUGUGUGUGUGCAGAACGACACAGACAGUGUUGCUUUUGUUGAUUUCACGAUUCUUUUGGGCUAGGGAAUGGGUUUCCCUCUCGUGUACUUCCCAUAGACCAGGGUCACUCUUGAUCCUUCCCAUUCACCCCUAAGCGUUUUAGAAGACAUUUUCCCACCUCAGACACUAAUUAUUAAAGCUGCCUGAUUUGCCAGACAAACACAACUCAGUCGUGGUAUUUGAGCAACAGAUCAAUGAGCAAAUAUUGAUGCGACGCACAUGCCGCAGAAACCCGGCACCAUCUGGGGCUGGGUGGGCUCGUGAUGCACACGGGGAGCCGGGAGCGCCUCCGCCUUCCGAUGGCGCAAGUGAUGGAGGGAAAGCAGAAACUCCUGAGCAGCUUUCUCAGGGCAGUGGGGCCUCAUGCAUGCAUUCAUGACUCAUCCUGCUACCGUCACAAAGCGUGCCCAGGACCAGGGUGGCCGAAGUGUGUGACAUUCUGGCCCUCCCCGAGCUUGGGGAGCAGGGCCUGCUGUCUUGGACAGGAAGUUAGUGAGCUGGGGCAGCCGCUCCAGAGUCGAGGGGCGAUGAGGGCAUGACGCAGGGCACCUGUAGGCCACUGUCGGAAGGUCUGCCCCUGACUUCUGUAGGAAGGGUAGUCUUCGUUGGCAGUGACUGGUAGAUUGGCCUGUGGAACCCCAAAACGUAGGGGUGCAGGGGGGUGGGGUGGGGCAUGGUUGGGGAGAGGACUUGUGUUGAACCUGAGUGUUCGGUGCGUUUCCAACUCUGUGUCCUGUGUCUCCUCUUGAGGUGGUGUGCCGUCCUUAGAACCUGCUGUUGACCUUGCGGUCCGUGGUUCUCGUGUUAGUUUGACCUUAUAAUUUACCAACUGCAUAAAGUGACCUGACCGCUUUGAGCCUCCACUUAGCAUCUAUAGACACAAGAUACUAGGAAUCUGAGCCCCCUGCAUCAGCUGCCAUGUGAGGGUUCACGUGCGGGAACUCGAGUGAAAUGAAAGGAUUUUGAGGCUGCAAACUUUCCGAGGAUGGGCGCUGUUGUUAGAAUUAGCGGUGGUGGUGGAGGAAGCCUGGUCCUCAGCAUCUCUCCCAGCAUGCUUUUCUGGUUUGUUUUUGGUGGUGGUGGGAAUUGAACCCAGGGCCUUAUGCAUGCAAAGCCAGCACUCUACCACUUGAGCUCUAUCCCAGCCCUCACUUUCCCAUUUUUGAAGAUAACCGUGGCUGCCUCCGAGUAGACGUUCCAGUGUGUGGUCUGAAUGAUCGUCCGAUGGCAACACGAGGGUCCCGUCUCCCAUCUUUUGAUAUUGGUUGUUGAUAAAGGAAAUGAACAGGUCCACUCAUAACUCUAGGACUCUGAUCGGGCUUGGACUUCACGUUCAUGAUUGUAGAGAUUUGUAAUUGCGGGUCAGGGGCGAGGUUUACUUCUUUCUCUGAGUAAGAUUUCCAAGCUGUCAAGGAGAGAAGGAGCUGGUUCUCUAGUAGCCUUCUGUCCACCUGUAGGAACAUGGCUGGACCGUCAGCUUGCCCAACUGACUCUGGUGUGUGUUUCCUUCACUGCCACCACCCCGGCUCCCAGAGCAGUGCCUGGUUCAUUCCAGGCGCACCUUGGAUUUUCCUUAAAUCAAUGGCCCUGCCAAAGACCUGUUGUGCUGGGGGCACUUGGAAAUGUUGGGAAGGUCAAGUCAGGGUCUGCGACCUUCAGGACCUCACAGGCCAGCAGGGAAGAAGGAAAGUAACAGAAAACGAGGGUCGUGGGACAGGUGCUGACUGCAGGAGCUACGGGGGGUAGGAGGGUGGCAGCUAGGUGACCCCACAAAGGCAGUAGUAGAGUUAGGUCCAAAUGUGCUCUUGAGGUCUCCGGAGCAGGGGAGGUGGGAGUGCGAGCCCCCUCUGCAGACAGCAAGAGGGUCCACUGCAGGGAAUUUGGAAACAAUAAUAUUGACCAAAUAAGUCAGUUUUCUUUUGUUGUCACACACAGGGAACCCUGCUGAAGAGAGGGUGUGCCGAGUCUUCCCCAGGGGCUCCCAAGUCCGCCCGCCUCACCCUCUGGGCGCCCAUACCUUCUCUGGGUGACAUUUGUUCCAGUGACAUACUUGGACUUCAGAGACCGCAGCCUUCUGAAAGCACAGCCUUCAGGCUGGGUAAGAUAAUUUC